rnacentral:rRNA from 1 species
UACAGAGGGUGCGAGCGUUAAUCGGAAUUACUGGGCGUAAAGCGUGCGCAGGCGGUUUUGUAAGACUGACGUGAAAUCCCCGGGCUCAACCUGGGAAUGGCGUUGGUGACUGCAAGGCUAGAGUUUGGCAGAGGGGGGUAGAAUUCCACGUGUAGCAGUGAAAUGCGUAGAUAUGUGGAGGAACACCGAUGGCGAAGGCAGCCCCCUGGGUCAAAACUGACGCUCAUGCACGAAAGCGUGGGGAGCAAACAGG